GGGGAAAUAGUUCAGUGGCAGAACAUUAGAUUGUGGCUCUAAUAACCCGGGUCCGAUUCCCGGUUUCCCCU
rfam:Angomonas deanei Cont25815, whole genome shotgun sequence.